rnacentral:rRNA from 1 species
UACGGAGGAUGCGAGCGUUAUCCGGAUUUAUUGGGUUUAAAGGGUGCGUAGGCGGGUUAUCAAGUCAGCGGUAAAAUCGUGGAGCUCAACUCCAUUCAGCCGUUGAAACUGAUGAUCUUGAGUGGGCGAGAAGUAUGCGGAAUGCGUGGUGUAGCGGUGAAAUGCAUAGAUAUCACGCAGAACUCCGAUUGCGAAGGCAGCAUACCGGCGCCCGACUGACGCUGAAGCACGAAAGCGUGGGUAUCGAACAGG